rnacentral:rRNA from 1 species
AGCUCCAGUAGCGUAUAUUAAAGUUGUUGCUGUUAAAAAGCUCGUAGUUGGAUUUCUGGUACGCCUGGUCUGAUCCGCUCCGGUUACGGUAGUGUGUAUCGGUACCUGGUUGCCAUCCUUUCAGAAAAACCGUUCUACCCUUAACUGGGCCGGAUCGGCGAUCUGGAACUUUUACUUUGAAAAAAUUAGAGUGUUCAAAGCAGGCUUGCGCUAUGAAUACAUUAGCAUGGAAUAAUAAUUUAGGACUCGGGUUCUAUUUUAUUGGUUUCUAGAAAUCGAGUAAUGAUUGAUAGGGACAGUUGGGGGUGCUAGUAUUCAGCGGCCAGAGGUGAAAUUCUUGGAUUCGCUGAAGACUAACUUAUGCGAAAGCAUUCACCAAGGAUGUCUUCUUUA